rnacentral:sRNA from 2 species
CGAGUCGGUCAGCCUAAUUCAGAAUCUUCUGAAGCGGAGGAACCAGUUUAAUCGGGGCUUACGGUUGUGAACUUAGACACCUUCUAAGCAAUCCAACCGGGGACAAUCUCUCAGUCCUCGCCCGUCAGCUAACUCCGUCGGCACGUUGAGAGUUUGA